CCUGGAUGCUGUAGAAGUAUGCAAUAAAUGGCACAGCUGGUCCUUGGGGAGGCGAGACUGCAGCCAAGAUGUAGGAAUUCAGACUCCUUGUGCAGCUCUGACACAUCUCUUGUGUACUUUUCCUCUCACAAACGAGAUAAAUUUGUCUCUGGGGACUUAAUGUCGUGUGCUUGAUUUAAAAGUGCUUUAGGGCCAUGAAGCACAAAGUGAUUAAAGAAGUGCUGUUCUAUUAAGCCAGAAGUUCUUAUACCGAGUUCAGAAGUGUUACUAAUAAGAUAUCAUUUCCUGUCCUUCCAAUUAACAUUCCUUUCUAUUGAACUGCUGUUUUAUUACCUGAUAGCAUAAGGAAAUACCUUGCAUUUCAUCAGGGAGAGACUUGUUGCAGGCUCUGUGGUGCUGUGUUUAAGGUGUAUAAGAGUGUAUUUAUUGUCCCCACAUCUGAACAUGGUUCUUGUCCUGUGUGGAGCAGUGACUUCUCCAGAGCUCUCCCGUGAGCUCUGGCAAUGCCUGGGUACCGAGAAUGGCUUUUUUGGAAUCACAAAGGGAACGGCAGCGCUCAGAACUGAGCAGCAGAGGAGAGCAGCUGAUGUGGAAGGAUCCAGGGAAGGAGUGAAGCCGGCUGGUGUGUGAGGAUGAGGAUGAGCCGUGUGUAGCCAGCUCCCCCCCGGCUGCCGAGCUCCGCCCGUGAGGAACAGGGCACACCCGGGAUGUGUCUUUCCGUGAAGGCAAAGACAGAGGUUUUGAAGUUGCCCUUUGUGGGCUGAGACACUUCCCCACCGCCAAAAAAACCAGGAAGGCUCCAAACCCCAAAGUGGGGAGCACUUGGGAUUGUUCCCUUUGUAACCUGCAGGAAGCUGAUAUCCCACCGAGCCUGGCGGUGAUGUAAAGUUUGUAAUGUUGUCUUGGGGCAGUUUGUUUAAAUUUUUCUCUUGUCACGACAAAAGGUGCACCUAAACCAACCUUUUAAAUCGCUUCCCCUCACCCCUUCCUUCAUUUUAACAGUAAAAUGUCGAUGUGAUUUAUUUCUGUCUCCAAGAAAAAAGGGAAACUUGUUCAGGUUCAUUAUUCAGAGAUUUUUUUUCCCAUGCCUCUUCCUUGACAUUAUCUUUUCAUACGUGGUUGUCAAUGAUUUGCAAUAAGUCAGAUCACUUACACAUAUCCACAUUUUGGGAUCUUUGUUUUGGUUUUGUGUUUGACAUUUUCCAGGUGAUGACACGAUGCUUGGUCCAGGAUACCCACAUCAUUUUCAUGUGGUUUAACCACUAACAGUGUUUGUCUUACUUCUGUCAUCUACACAUCUGCAGUGGGCAGGACACAAAUCUCAUUAAUGCUGUUUAUAUUUAGAAAAAACGAAUAAAGCUUCACUCCUGAUGAGCUUGGGAGGGUCC
rnacentral:lncRNA from 1 species